GACGAACGCUGGCGGCGUGCUUAACACAUGCAAGUCGAACGCUGAAGCUCAGCUUGCUGGGUGGAUGAGUGGCGAACGGGUGAGUAACACGUGAGUAACCUGCCCUCUUCUUUGGGAUAACGCCCGGAAACGGGUGCUAAUACUGGAUAUUCACUGAUUCUCGCAUGGGGGUUGGUGGAAAGGUUUUUUCUGGUGGGGGAUGGGCUCGCGGCCUAUCAGCUUGUUGGUGGGGUGAUGGCCUACCAAGGCUUUGACGGGUAGCCGGCCUGAGAGGGUGACCGGUCACAUUGGGACUGAGAUACGGCCCAGACUCCUACGGGAGGCAGCAGUGGGGAAUAUAGCACAAUGGGCGAAAGCCUGAUGCAGCGACGCCGCGUGAGGGAUGGAGGCCUUCGGGUUGUAAACCUCUUUCGCUCAUGGUCAAGCCGCAGCGUGGGGUUGUGGUGAGGGUAGUGGGUAAAGAAGCGCCGGCUAACUACGUG
rnacentral:rRNA from 1 species